rnacentral:lncRNA from 1 species
CCUGCCACCGUCCCCCUCCCCCUGCUACCGCCCCCCUCCCCCUGCAUCUGUAACCUGUAGGACACACGGAGGAUGGUUUAGUGAAGCCACGGGACCCAAGGCCCUCUGCUCCUUUGUGCUUUCAAGGAUGAGGCUGAGACAUCCCUGAGAAGACGGACAGGCAGGGAAACUUGACUGGAGCUCAAGAAGCCAGUGCCCUCUGCGCCCUCAUCCCAUCACACCCUGAACUGAAGGGGCAGCACGAGGUGGUUCUCCUCUCGAUCUGGCGGCAGAGUCGAAUCACCCCAGAGGUUUUGGCAAUGCCAGUGGCUGAGUCUCCCAGACUGAGAGGCAUCGGCUGAUUCAAGAUGUUCUGGGCAGGCUGGAGCCUGGUGGCACCGUGAAUUCCAAAAGGGCUUGGCUCAGCUGGGAUCUUCGGUGACUGUUAGAGGUCUGGAGUCACUGAGCUGGGAAGGCGAGAAGAUUCCCUGGGGCUGUGUCUUGGCGAGUCGGAUGGGACUUUUCUGGUUGUCACAAGAAUUUGGCUGAAGCUGAUAAAAUGACAAGAGCCCCUCAUUCUUGAGGGGUGCAAGGCUCCUGGUCCCCUCCAACUGAAAGUGCAGAAUGUCCCCAGCUGUCAACCCCAUCCCACCCACCUCCAGCCUAAAUGGGGUGCCUGGGGGUCAUCAGUGAGUGGUUGCCCUGGCAUUCAGGCGGCUGGAGACUGGCUGCAGCAUCCCCCAGGGCAGAAUGAAGAGGGGGACAGUGGGGCAACCUGCGUGGACGCCCUUAGGCAUGGUUGGCCUUCUCUUCACUUCCCUGGAAGCCUUCGAAGCCAGGACCCAUGUUGAUGCCCCAUUUUCAUCCUCCCAAGAAGCGUGUGCUGCCUGUCAGGAGAACCAGCCCCUUGGACGGCAGCUGUUCUUAUCACGGGACAGAAAUCAGCAGAAGAAUCACUCUUUCUCGCCACUGAGAGCAAAUAAAGAUGGCCUUGGCAGAAAUACGUGCUAGGAUCACUGGCUUUUGUGUGUGGGUGGGUGGC